rnacentral:rRNA from 1 species
UACGUAGGGUGCAAGCGUUGUCCGGAAUUAUUGGGCGUAAAGAGCUCGUAGGCGGUUUGUACAGUCAGACGUGAAAUUCCUGGGCUCAACCUGGGGGCUGCGUUUGAUACGUGCAGACUUGAGUUCGGAAGAGGGUCGUGGAAUUCCCAGUGUAGAGGUGAAAUUCGUAGAUAUUGGGAAGAACACCGGUGGCGAAGGCGGCGACCUGGUCCGAUACUGACGCUGAGGCGCGAAAGCGUGGGGAGCAAACAGG